rnacentral:rRNA from 1 species
UACGUAGGGAGCAAGCGUUGUCCGGAAUCAUUGGGCGUAAAGAGCGUGUAGGCGGUCAGGUAGGUCCGUUGUGAAAACUCGAGGCUCAACCUCGAGACGCCGAUGGAAACCAUCAGACUAGAGUCCGGAAGAGGAGAGUGGAAUUCCUGGUGUAGCGGUGAAAUGCGCAGAUAUCAGGAAGAACACCCGUGGCUAAGGCGGCUCUCUAGUACGGUACUGACGCUGAGACGCGAAAGCGUGGAGAGCGAACAGG